rnacentral:lncRNA from 1 species
CUAGUGUUGGCCCUCAGUUCCUCCUUCACAGACGCUGCAAUGAACUUGAUUUGUGCCUAGAGACCAUGAAGAAGAGGGUGAGGAAAUUGCAUCAGCCAGCGACUGGGGAGAACUAGAGGGAAACAGGGUCUUCUGGAUGAGAGAGGACUGUGGUCCUCCCGGAUUCACAGCAGCAUCCGCCUAAGAUCUGCAUGAAGAACAAGCCGGUCAGCAUUCCAGCCCAGAGCAAGAAGAGCUAUCAAUGGCCUCUGUGGGAACAAGAGCGUUCCAGGCGGAUGAUCAUUCAUCAUGGCAGGGAUACAAGGCAGCAAGCAUCAAGCACCGUAGUAGGAGCUGCAAACGGAGCGACCAGAACUCUACUGCACAUACAGGAGCAAAGAGCCUACACUGGCGCCAACUGGGGACCAGAUGUCAAAUACAUGAGUCUGUGCGGGACAUUUCUCACGCAGCCAACAACACCACAUCUACAGCAGCAAUCACACAAAGUAAGUAAGCCCCUGUCAUAAACUUUAAACGUAUGUGUAUGAUCGAGGAAGAGAAUAGUCAAAACCCAUCCUAGGGACAAGAAGGCCCAAGUAUAUUGUAUAUUUUGCUCUCAGAAGGCUUGGCUACUGUCUCAGUCAGGGUUUCUACUCCUGCACAAACAUCGUGACCAA